GUCUACGGCCAUGCCACCAUGAACAAGCCUGAUGUCUGAUCUUGGAAGCUAAGCAGGGUCAAGCCUGGUUAGAACUUGAAUUGGAGACCAUCAAAGAAGACCAGGUGCUAUAAGCA
rnacentral:rRNA from 1 species